rnacentral:rRNA from 1 species
GAUGAACGCUGGCGGCGUGCCUAAUACAUGCAAGUCGAGCGAACAGACGAGGAGCUUGCUCCUCUGACGUUAGCGGCGCGCGGGUGAGUAACACGUGUAUACCCUACCUAUCAGACUGGGAUCACUUCGGGAAACCGGAGCUAAUACCGUAUAAUAUAUUGCACCGCAUUGUUCGAUAGUGAAUGACGGUUUUGCUGUCACUUCUAGCUGGAUCCGCGCCGCAUUAGCUAGUUGGUAAGGUCACGGCUUACCAAGGCAACGAUGCGUAGCCGACCUGAGAGGGGGAUAGGCGACAUUGGAGGGGAGACACGGACCAGAGUCCUGCGGGAGGCAGCAGUAGGGAAUCUUACGCAAUGGGCGAAAGCUUGACGGAGCAACGCCGCGUGUGAGAUGAAGGUGUUCGGAUCGGAAAACUGUGCUAUGAGGGAAGAACAAAUGUGGAAGUAACUAUGCACGUCGUGACGGUACCUAAUCAGAAAGCCACGGCUAACUACGUG